rnacentral:misc_RNA from 1 species
GUGCCCAAGAGUAUUUCUUCUGAGAAAAGACUUGCUUGGUUGCGCUCUCAAAUCGUGGGCGGUGAUGUAGAAUUUGAUUCUCCCUUUGGAAAACGAAAACUCACCUAUACUGAUCAUACUGCCUCCGGCCAGUCUCUUCGCUAUAUUGAGAAUUUUAUCAUUAACAAUGUUCUUCCCUUCUAUGGGAACACUCACACUUGCGAUAGUUACGUGGGGCAUAGAACAACCAAAAUGUUACAAGAAGCAAUUAAAUACAUAAAGAAGAGCUUAGGUGGUGGACAACAGGAUGCAAUUAUGUUCUGUGGCUCAGGCACCACAGCAGCUAUUAAACGUCUGCAAGAGGUAAUGGGCAUAGCUGUGCCCUCCAUUCUCAGAGACAGGCUAAUUAAAUGCAUUACCAAUGAAGAAAGAUGGGUAGUCUUUGUUGGCCCUUAUGAGCACCACUCCAACCUCCUUUCAUGGCGACAAAGCUUAGCUGAAGUU